AGAUUAUGUAACUGAACUCGCAAAUGCUUUGAACAAAAUCCAUGCCCAAGUUUUCUCUUCAAUUCCAGAUCCUGAUUCUGACACAGGCAACCACAGUCUGCUCCCCGGUGACUGGGUUCUGGUCAAGAAAUUUGUGCAAAAACACACCCUGGAACCAAGAUUUGACGGACCGUUCCAAGUUCUCCUGAUCUCCCCUACCUCUGUCAAAUUGGCCGGAAGGCCUAACUGGAUCCACGCUUCCCAUUGCAAGAAGACACCUGCCCCAGAGGAAGCUAAUUCUAUGCAACCAUGUGCCUCUGGUACAUUAUCUCCUUAGUUGGCCUCCUUAAAGCCCAGCAGGUGGCCAUCACCAAAGAUGCUAGUGGGUACACUUUCUGGUAUAAUUCAUCAUGUACCCAUGUGACUACAUUCACUUUUGAUUACUGUGAUAUUGUAGAAUGCCCAUUCCCUAAGUCACAGAUUCAAGCCAUUUAUAAAGAUAUACCACAAGCAAAAGACCCUUACGUUUGUGUAGUAGAUGAACAAUGGGGUUAUGACUGUAACUACUGGGGGGGCUGCGGGAUGGAAUACUGGGCCUGCCUGGGGUUAUAAACCCAAAAGUUCUUUAUCUAAGAUAGACAAUCAGGGUAGAUCCCUCCUUCAAAGAAUGACUUUAAGAAAGCCUGGAGGAAGUACCCCUAUGAAAUUAAUGUUAAAUAUUGAACAUCCU